UCCCUUGAUCAAAUUGUCAAUAGAUUUGGGAAUUCCAAGUUCAACUUUACGCAGCAAGAUAAAAUGUUUGGAAAGUUUUGCAAAAGACAAACAAUUAAAGCAAGAGAACUACAAAAAAGCUGUGCUUCAUGUUGAGUGGGGUACAUCGCUCACGAAAGCAGCUUUGGAAAAAAAUGUGAAUAGAAAAAUACUAAAGAAAGUGCAGAUUUCAAAUAAAUUGAAUGCAGAAAUGGAAGUAAAUAAUCUCUUAGACUUAGAGAAUGAAAAAUCUCCAAAGCAAAAAAAUGAACUUUCAAAAGAUUACUUUGCAAAACAAGAAAGAUCCGAACUAGCUCUGAAAGACGUAAUAAAGGGAGAUACGAUUGCCAAAGCUUGCAGGAAUCAUAACAUCAGUCGCCACAUUUUAUCUCUAAAGGUGGAAAAAUAUCGACUUUUUCUUGCCGCAAAUUCGUCACAGUGACUGAUAAAGAUUGAUAAAGAUCAAGAUUGGCCGUACUAAGCGAAUGUCCGACGAAUCCUUUUUUAAAAGUGUUUUAUGAAUUGUCAUUUUCCGAUCUCAUCUAAUAUUGUUGUGUGCAUGUGUACGUGUUUCGCCUCAUUUGGUAACCUCCAACAAAUGUGUUUCCAUAUACUCCACUCCCACUUUAACACGUUAAAAACAAUUAGUAGGUGACCGUAUGUUUUUCGUUAAGCCUCUAUACAUUUUUGUGGAAAAAUGAUACUCAUCAAAAUACACACACACUCUUAUAUAUAACCAAAUC